rnacentral:ncRNA from 2 species
GGCAAAGUAGAUGGCCGCGCGUCAAGUGCCAGUUGGACGGGAAGUUGCCACUGGACGAAAAACCCCAUGGGGUUUGCGGUGCCGCCAUCGCAUUCCGUUGUC